GCGGCCCUCCGCGCCCUCGUCGGCGGCCUUGCGCUUCAGCGACACCCCGGCCUCGGCGCCGGGAGCGGCCGCCUGGAAGCCGUAGGAGAGACCCUGGGCCUGCGCAGGGCCCGGCCCGCAAGCUCCUGCCAUUCAGCCUCCUGCACCUGGAUGGUUUCCUUCCAGGUUCAUAGGCCACACACGAGUGCCGUGCAUCAGCAGAGGUGGAGGAAAUCUUCCAGGGUGGAUGAGAGACGUGAUCGGGCCUUCGCAGUUGGUCCCGAAACCCUUGGAACGCCGAGAGAGAGACUGUGUGAACAGGGGAGGGUC